AGCGAACGCUGGCGGCAGGCCUAACACAUGCAAAUCGAACGAACUCUUCGGAGUUAGUGGCGGACGGGUGAGUAACACGUGGGAACGUGCCUUUUGGUUCGGAAUAACUCAGGGAAACUUGUGCUAAUACCGAAUGUGCCCUUCGGGGGAAAGAUUUAUCGCCAUUAGAGCGGCCCGCGUCUGAUUAGCUAGUUGGUGAGGUAACGGCUCACCAAGGCGACGAUCAGUAGCUGGUCUGAGAGGAUGACCAGCCACACUGGGACUGAGACACGGCCCAGACUCCUACGGGAGGCAGCAGUGGGGAAUCUUGCGCAAUGGGCGAAAGCCUGACGCAGCCAUGCCGCGUGAAUGAUGAAGGUCUUAGGAUUGUAAAAUUCUUUCACCGGGGACGAUAAUGACGGUACCCGGAGAAGAAGCCCCGGCUAACUUCGUG
rnacentral:rRNA from 1 species